UACAGGUAGUACAAGUGGUGCCCGCGAAUAUUGAGUCUAAAGCGCCCGUAGCCGGCUCGGCAAGUCCUCUGUGAAAUUUACAGGCUCAACCUGUAAGCGUGCAGUGGAUACUACCAGGCUUGGGAGUGGGGGAGGUGAAGAGUACUCUAGGGGGAGGAGUAAAAUCCUGUAAUCCUUAGAGGACUUCCAGUAGCGAAGGCGCUUCACCAAAACACGUCCGACGGUGAGGGGCGAAGGCUAGGGGAGCAAAUCGG
rnacentral:rRNA from 1 species